UGGUCUAGAAGCAUACUUUACUUCUCCCAUAAACUCUACCUAUGUGGGCAUUUUCUUUUCAAAAGGACUAAAUUUCGACUCAAACAUAUCACAACAUGAUAUAGAAAAAAUAUCAGGAAAACCAUUUCAUUUUGAAGAUUGUGCAAAUCACAUUUACUUUCCUUUAAUUGAUAAAUUUUAGAUUUUCAAAAAUGGCUUACCAAAACAAGCAGAAAAUACUCAAAUAACAGACAUAUCUAAUCCGGCUCAAAAUAAUCGGUCCAAUAAUUAUGAUAUAUUAAACCACCUAAAAAAAUUAUCGAAAACCAGCAGGACAUCAAAAAAAAAAUUGAAACCAUUAUUGGUAAAGUUGAUCGACAGGGGGCGGAACUUAUUUCGUUGCGUAAUGAAGUCGCAUCAAUUAAGGCUCGAGUGUGCGGAGAGCCUAACAUCGUAAAAUUGGCAGUACCACGUUCACCACUGGCCAGUCAAGAGGGCUUUGAAGCAUUUGAAGAUUUUUUUUAAAGAAGAGCAUGCUUUCAAUAACUUGAUCAAGGACUUAAUCGCUAUCAAUGAAAAAACGUUUGAUAAGUUUAUAAGGAGCUCCUGGCGACAGAUUAUAAGCGAUGAUAUGGCGAAGUUUUUCUCCUAGCGUGGGACAGACUCCAAAAAGUGUGUAAGAGGACUUCGAACCACUUUAGCACUACGAAUAUAUAGAUGUGCCAGUUCAUACAACGAAAGCGUCAC